rfam:Dipodomys ordii contig_91285, whole genome shotgun sequence.
GGUGGCUCAGUGGUAGAGCGCAUGCCUUGCAUGCAUGAGGCCCAAGGUUCGAUUCCUCAGCACCA